AAUCUUGCGCUAACAGCAGUCCAUCAAAGAUGACUUCGGUGAGGAAACAUAUACUGUUGGCGAUAUGCCUCUGGCUGGUUGCAGGAAGGUACCUUAACUUUGGCAGCACAAUGGUGAAGGCUCAGGAUGACCCCAGAUUUUGGUUUCCACCAAGGGGUCCCUACAAGGACGUGGCUAGGCUCUAGUCGUGAAAAAGGACAGCGCUUCGGUUCCCACCAUGAAGAACAGAUUCAUGAAUUUGAAUAAAGACAAGAUUUACUUGGAA